rnacentral:rRNA from 1 species
GACGAACGCUGGCGGCGUGCCUAAUACAUGCAAGUAGAACGCUGAAGGAGGAGCUUGCUUCUCUGGAUGAGUUGCGAACGGGUGAGUAACGCGUAGGUAACCUGCCUGGUAGCGGGGGAUAACUAUUGGAAACGAUAGCUAAUACCGCAUAAGAGUAGAUGUUGCAUGACAUUUGCUUAAAAGGUGCAAUUGCAUCACUACCAGAUGGACCUGCGUUGUAUUAGCUAGUUGGUGGGGUAACGGCUCACCAAGGCGACGAUACAUAGCCGACCUGAGAGGGUGAUCGGUCACACUGGGACUGAGACACGGCCCAGACUCCUACGGGAGGCAGCAGUAGGGAAUCUUCGGCAAUGGACGGAAGUCUGACCGAGCAACGCCGCGUGAGUGAAGAAGGUUUUCGGAUCGUAAAGCUCUGUUGUAAGAGAAGAACGAGUGUGAGAGUGGAAAGUUCACACUGUGACGGUAUCUUACCAGAAAGGGACGGCUAACUACGUG